rnacentral:rRNA from 1 species
AAACCAACAGGGAUUGCCUCAGUAACGGCGAGUGAAGCGGCAACAGCUCAAAUUUGAAAUCUGGCUCUCGGGCCCGAGUUGUAAUUUGUAGAGGAUGCUUCGGGUACGGCUACGGUCUAAGUUCCUUGGAACAGGACGUCAUGGAGGGUGAGAAUCCCGUGUGUGACCGCCGGCUACGCCCAUGUGAAGCGCCUUCGACGAGUCGAGUUGUUUGGGAAUGCAGCUCAAAAUGGGUGGUAAAUUUCAUCUAAAGCUAAAUAUUGGCCAGAGACCGAUAGCGCACAAGUAGAGUGAUCGAAAGAUGAAAAGCACUUUGGAAAGAGAGUUAAAAAGCAUGUGAAAUUGUUGAAAGGGAAGCGCUUGCAAUCAGACUUGCUCCCAGGUGCUCAGCCGGUGUUUUCACCGGUGCAUUCGCCUGGGGUCAGGCCAGCAUCGGUUUGGGCGGUCAGAUAAAGGCCUCUGGAAUGUAGCUCCUCUCGGGGAGUGUUAUAGCCAGUGGUGCAAUGUGGCCCGCCUGGACCGAGGAACGCGCUUCGGCUCGGAUGCUGGCGUAAUGGUUGUAAGCGAC